GUACCGGUCAUUACAGCAUCUUUCGUUGUUUUUUUCAGCCUUUAGUUUUGUUUACCGCUGGUGUGCUUUUUCUCGAAGUAUCUAUGCAGAUGCUGUUAACUUCGACUUACUCUUGGCACUUUUACCCUCGAAUCAAUUUGCUGCUUCUUUAAAAUUUUCAAUCUGCUGUUUCUGAUUUGCCAGGUAUUUUAGCCACUCUAUGAAUUAGCAUAAAUCGAUUGCAGGACAGAUAUUAAUGAUCAAGAAAGAAAUCUAGUAACGCGUCUAACUUGGCAAACCAUCGGAAGUUGGUGAACAAACCCCUUAUCUUGCUCAGGUAUAUAGACGGCGAAAAAGGAAUUAAGAAACACUUUGCGGCAUUCCAUUUGCAUGAUCCUGCUCCUGUUUCUGUUAUUAUGGAUGAUUUUGCUGAUAUUUUUUGGUCAAGGUUACUUCAUUUCUAGCCAAUCCCACUCCCCCGAAACUAGUUUUUGUCUACUGUGUGUCUGCAUCAUUUUUAUGUCGGGAUGUUUUUCAGAAACUGCAAAGAGAGAUACAAUAAUACUUGAGGAAGGGAUUUGGCGAUAGUUCACGUAUUAGCCUUAUAUCGUAAUGCCAUUUUGUAUGCUAAGUGAGCAAGCAAACUUUCCUUGAAUAUUAGUCAUUUGAUGCACCUUUUCUAGUGUUAUCGCUUACUAGUUUUGAAAUCAACAUUUCUUCCUUAGUGAAAAGGGGACAUGUUGGCUUCUACUGUCUACACAGUCAAAGGUAACUUAGCUACUCUUCUUGUUGAUAUUUAGCUAAUGGUUGUGUUUUAUUUGUUGCUGCUUUAUGUUCACCUUUAUUUCUACCGUCUUUCAAAUACUUAAUUCUUCAUAUGGAAGGGGAUGGCUUCGGAUCAUGUCUUAAUUUUCCAGUUUCUGUUGUUCGUAUAAUUGGUUGUAAUGGCUAAAUUGAGUUGGUGAAAUACCAACAAAGUUUCUGCCUCUGGCAUACAUAAGAAUUUCAAUAACUUUAGCCAAUUUGAUAGUUGUUGUAACUCAACGAAUCUCUCAUAUCUCCCUCAGGUAUAGAGCUGUAACAAGUGCAUGUUAUCAAGGUGCAGUUGGCGUGAUGCUAGUCUACAAGUUAACAAAACGCCAGUCAUUCGAUCAUAUGGCUAGAUGGCUGGAGGAACUAAAUGGUCAUGCAGGCAAGAACAUGUACACGUAUAAUGCUCAUUGCGAACAAAUGUGAUCUAGGAAGUCGUCAAGCUCUACCAGUCGAAGAUAGGGAGAAUCUUUUCUUUAUGGAAGCAUCAGCCUUUCAAUCCACAAACGUCGAGAGUGCAUUCAUGACUGUUUUAACAGAAAUUUAUAAAAUCAUUAGCAAGAAUACGCUCACUGCAAACCCAAGAGCUGAUUAUGGAAAGUCACAAUCUUUAAAGGGAACGAGGAUCGUUGUUCCUUGACAGGAUUCGGAUUCUGAUGGCAAUAGUGGUGGCUGUUGCAUGUCGUCGUGAUUUUUUAUUGAACUCUGAAUGUCUUUUUAUUUAUCCGAAAUCAUAAUAUGAAGUUGCCUUUUGACAUUUUUUAA